AACGGUCAUACCAUGCUGAAUAUACCGGUUCUCGUUAGAUCACCGAAGUCAAAAGCAUCAUUUGUUGGGUGGGUGACCACCUGAGAACACCGCGUGCCGUUG